rnacentral:lncRNA from 1 species
GAGCUUCUCUUUUUUACUCUGCAUUUCCCUCUGACCUAUUUCCCUUGUUCUCGAAGACGAAGAACGAAAGAAGGAUUCAAUUUGAAGAGAGCAAGAGACGAAGUGAAUCUGAAAUGCAGGGGGGCGACAUGACUAAGUACAAACAAUUCCUUUUUCUUUUUUUUCUUUCUUGAUUCCAAUCAAGUAAUAGUAAUAAUUAAAAUUUUCUUUUUUCUUUUUUUUUAAAUAAUUGUUUGAGCAGUAGGAGUAGUAGGGUGGCUGAGAGGCUGCUGCUGUUCAUUGCCCGCUUGUUAAUUUUAACACCAUUUAUCAUGUUGGCAUUCAGUAUAUACUAUAACAUAUUCAGUCCCUCCUAUACGCUCACCAUUCCGAUGACUGACCUUGUAUCCACCUAUUUCCGUCUCUACUACUUAAACCGAAAUCCGUAAGUUCUUGUUUUUUUCUUGGUUUGGAUUAUUUGUUAGAAUCGAUGUUGAGCUAAAUCUGUUCUGCUUUGAUGCUGAUUGCUUCUUUUUUCUUUCUUGUGCUCCAUUUUGCGUUCUUUAAAAUAUAUGAAAUUGGUGUGCGCUUUUCUUCUACAAAACUCACAAUUGCUUUAUUGUGUGAACUAGGGGAUUACUUGGAUUCGUGAUGGAAUUUGCGCUAUCAGUAGCAGUGCUCGGCGUACUUCACAACAAUGAGGCAUUGCGUUUAUUUGAUUAGUAUGUUAUUCUCACUUCCAACUUCUAGGGGGUUUAGAGGGAAAUUAAUUGUAAUUACACUUGGUGAAUAUUGCAGGGCUCCCCUACAGCCUCCAACAGUUUGAAGCUAAAAGAGUGAGGAAGAUGAACAGCCGUUUUGCUUUUCAAAAAACCCUAGUUUGUAAAUAUGCCUCAACUCUUUUAACUAUCUUGGGGAGGAAAUGUUUGAUAUGAUUCACAUUUUGUUUUGGCUCAUUAUUGAUAUCAUUCAAUUGAUUGGAUGUAUCAUAAGAUCUGAUCCUUUCUUCAAUUGAGUUAAGCAUUGGCAAAAUGAUUUUACAAUCAACAACACUAUAAUAGGUUUUAUGGAAUUACAUUCUUUUUAAAUAUUAUUGGUCCAAUAUUGGUUAAAUUGUUU